AACAACUCACCUGCCGAAUGAAUUAGCCCUGAAAAUGGAUGGCGCUGAAGCGGGGAGCCGACACCGCGCCGUUCGGGCGAGACGCGUGCCCGGAUGAGUAGGAGGGCGUGGCGGUCAGUUGCGCAGGCGCAGGUGCAGACCUCGCUGAAACGGCCGCUAGUGCAGAUCUUGGUGGUAGUAGCAAGUAUUCAAGCGAGAACCUUGAAGGGCGAAGCGGGGAAGGGUUCCGCGCGAACAUUGAUUGGGCGCGGGUGAGUCGUUCCUAAGCCGAGUGGCGAUUGCUAAGUAGCGGCGAAAGGGAAGCGGGUCAAAAUUCCUGCACACGGAUAUGGAUGCGGCGACGCAAGCCGAGGCGAAGACGCUGGCGAGGGCGCUGGGCAGAGUUGUCUUUUCUGUUUGACCGGGAUCGUGCUGUGUGGAAUCCGCUUAUCGGGAGAAACACGCACGGGGAGGGGCAGAGCGGUGGGUUUUUUCCAUCGUCCGGCUCGCCCUCGACGGCCCUUGAAAAUUCGCCCGCGACGUAAUUUCAUGCUGUGACGUACCGAUAACCGCAUCAGGUCCCCAAGGUGAACAGCCUCUGCUCGAUAUGAACAAU
rnacentral:rRNA from 1 species